UACGGAGGGUGCAAGCGUUUAAUCGGAAUUACUGGGCGUAAAGCGCGCGUAGGCGGUUGUUUAAGUUGGAUGUGAAAGCCCCGGGCUCAACCUGGGAACUGCAUUCAAAACUGGGCAACUGGAGUACGGCAGAGGCAAGUGGAAUUUCCAGUGUAGCGGUGAAAAUGCGUAGAGAUUGGAAGGAACACCAGUGGCGAAGGCGACUUGCUGGGCUGAUACUGACGCUGAGGUGCGAAAGCGUGGGGAGCGAACAGG
rnacentral:rRNA from 1 species